AUUUAAGUGCCUUUGAAUAGGGUAUGGUAGUAGGUGCCAGGCGCACUGGUUUGAGUGUGUCAAGAACUGCAACGCUGCUGGGUUUUUCACACUCAACAGUCCUACCACCCAAAGAACAUUCAGCCAAUGGGUCAUUGAUGAAAGAGGACAGGGAAAGCUGUGCAGAGCAACAGAUGGGCUACAGUUAGUCAACUGACAGGUCCAGUACAGCUGCCCAAAGACCCAUAUAAUAAUGCACAACUUGUCGUACCUUGACACAACCUUACAGAGUUCCAAUUCAAAAAAAAAAAAAUGUGUUUGCAGUGAGCUAAGGAACGAAAACGACACUGGAGAAUUGGAAAAACAUUUCCUGGUCUGAUAAAUGCCGGUUCCUGCUGGGAGGACUAGGGUAUGGAGAAUACCAUGAGUACAUGUAUCCAUCAUGUUGUGAUGGGAGGACUAGGGUAUGGAGAAUACCAUGAGUACAUGUAUCCAUCAUGUUGUGAUGGGAGGACUAGGGUAUGGAGAAUACCAUGAGUACAUGCAUCCAUGUCACGUGCCAACAUUGCAGCUUGUUGGUAUGAUGGUGUGGGUGUGUUUUCAGGACACACAUUGGACCCCUUGGUAAAAGUGGAGCAAUGUUUGAAUGUCACAGGAUAUCUGAACAUCAUUGCCAAUCAGGUGCAUCCCUUCAUGGCAGCAGUGUAUCCAUCUGCAAAUAUAUUUUUUUCAGCCCCAUGCCACAAGGCUAGGAUUGGUUCCACAAACAUGACAGUGAAUUCAGCUUAUUGCAGUGGUCUGCCCAGUCGCCAGAUGUCAAACAAACUGAGCAUCUGUGGGAUGAGAUGGAACGAGCUAUUAAGAGUAGAGAUCCAAACCCACCAACUUGAUACAACUAUGGGAAGCAUUGGAGAUAACAUGGGCCAGCAUCCCUGUGGAACGAUUCCGCCAACUUUUAGAGUCCAUGGAAUUGUGGCUGUUCUGAGGACAAAAGGGGGUGCAACUCAAUAAUAGGAAGGUGUUCCUAAUGUUUUGUCCACUCAGUGUAAAUCGACCUGUAUAGACUAGGUAAAGGGAAGGGAAAGGGGGUGCAACUCAAUAUUAGGAAGGUGUUCCUAAUGUUUUGUGCACUCAGUGUAAAUCGACCUGUAUAGACUAGGUAAAGGGAAGGGAAAGGGGGUACAACUCAAUAUUAGGAAGGUGUUCCUAAUGUUUUGUCCACUCAGUGUAAAUCGACCUGUAUAGACUAGGUAAAGGGAAGGGAAAGGGGGUGCAACUCAAUAAUAGGAAGGUGUUCCUAAUGUUUUGUGCACUCAGUGUCUGUUUCAGUUCAUUUAUUGAUUUUUAAAAACAAGUAUUUUUUAUUUAACUAGGCAAGUCAGUUAAGAACAAAUUCUGAUUUACAAUGUUGGCCUACCCCGGCCAAACCGGGUGCGCUGAGAGUCGGGAAGCAAGUUUAGGGAGUGAGUGUUUUACUAAAUAAAAGAAACAAUGAACACGAAACACAAACAACGCACCGACAUGAAAACAGUGUCAGUAACACUGAGGUAAGAACCAAGGGGAAUUACAGAUAUAGGGAAGAUAAUCAAGGAGGUGAUGUAGUCCAGGUUAGUGUCAUGAGGCGUAGGUCAUGAGGCGCAGGUCAUGAGGCGCAGGUCAUGAGGCGCAGGUCAUGAGGCGCAGACGAUGUUGACAGGUGUGCGGGAUAAUCAGCAGCCUGAUGACCUAGAGGCCGGAGAGGGAGUGUACGUGACACCCGGAUGAAUGCUGAGUCAAUUAUGCACCGCCCUAUGGGACUCCCAAUCACAGCCGGAUGUGAUACAGCCUGGAUUCAAACCAGGCACUGCAGUGACACCUCUUGUACUGAGAUGCCGGGCCUUAGACCGCUGCACCACUCAGGAGGUCUGAUCAGGAGGUCUGAUACUUGUUUUGUUGUUGAUGAAUAAUUGUUUGUAAUGCAGAAAUGAUUUUACUAGUAGCAGGGCAUAAGAAGGGUUAGAACCAUACUAAGUUUACAAUUGGAACCAUUUCCCUGUUUGACCUCUAGGUUUAUGGGUAUUAUAACACCUCCAUUCUAUAGGAAUGAAUGGAAUUUUACAGCACUUAAUUUAAAUGUUUCAAUGACAAAAUGACAAAAUGUUUUUAAGUAGUUUUUUGUAGUAGGGACAGUAACAUUAGUAUUUAAAACAUAUCCUUUAUGGGAAAUGUUUGUACAUUUUCUUUACAUGUUUAGCUAAUAUCAUUUCAAAGUAAGAAGGUGUCUGUAAUAUAAUGAGCGAGGCAAAAACAAUUGUAGACAUUAGUAAAUGCAUUUCUUUAUCUCCCAAUGAUGGGGGAACGCAAAGAUGGAGGUACGGCGGCUAUAAAAAAAGCGCCCUCUGCUCAUCAUCUAGUGUAUAUAUAAAUUAUUGUUUGCUACCCGUGGAAACAGCUUGGAAGACGAUGACCACAAAUGUAAAAUCCUCAAAAGUUUCAGCGAUAAAGCAGCACUGCUCUGUCAACAGAACUCGGUGCUUAUUAUCGGAUGUAUUAGGGUAUGAAAUCUGUCUUUUUGUAUAUAAUGUUAAUAUGUUUGAGAAAGACCCCACUGAACGAUUCAGAACAUGAAUAAUUCUAUUUGUAUUGAUAAAAUGUAUUGUAUAACAUAAGGAAGUGAAAUGUCAUCACCAAAUCGAAUUUUCACCCUGCAGAGUGGGUGGACACCCUGAGUACUGUAGGACCAGUAUAUUGUAUUUCCAUUUGGUUUCACUCAUCUACUUCAAAGUGUUUGUGUCGCCUACUGAAAUAACAAACGAAUUAUGUUGAUUUGAAACUUAGCCUUACUUCCUUGGUCAAUAAAGGAGGGGUUGAUGCACAA